rnacentral:rRNA from 1 species
UAGGGAAUCUUCCACAAUGGACGCAAGUCUGAUGGAGCAACGCCGCGUGAGUGAAGAAGGUUUUCGGAUCGGUAAAACUCUGUUGUUAGAGAAGAACACGAGUGAGAGUAACUGUUCAUUCGAUGACGGUAUCUAACCAGCAAGUCACGGCUAACUACGUGCUAG